rnacentral:rRNA from 1 species
UACGAAGGGGGCUAGCGUUGUUCGGAUUUACUGGGCGUAAAGCGCGUGUAGGCGGACUUGUAAGUUGGGGGUGAAAUCCCAUGGCUCAACCAUGGAAGUGCACUCGAAACUGCAGGGCUAGAGUCCUGGAGAGGAAGGUGGAAUGCUUGGUGUAGAGGUGAAAUUCGUAGAUAUCAAGCGGAACACCGGUGGCGAAGGCGGCCUUCUGGACAGUGACUGACGCUGAGACGCGAAAGCGUGGGGAGCAAACAGG